CGGUAGCCGCGGUAAUACGUAGGUGGCAAGCGUUGUCCGGAGUUAUUGGGCGUAAAGCGCGCGCAGGUGGUUUAAUAAGUCUGAUGUGAAAGCCCACGGCUCAACCGUGGAGGGUCAUUGGAAACUGUUAAACUUGAGCGCAGGAGAGAAAAGUGGAAUUCCUAGUGUAGCGGUGAAAUGCGUAGAGAUUAGGAGGAACACCAGUGGCGAAGGCGGCUUCUUGGCCUGUAACUGACACUGAGGCGCGAAAGCGUGGGGAGCAAACAGGAUUAGAUACCCCAGUAGUCCCUGUCUCUUAUAC
rnacentral:rRNA from 1 species